UACGAAGGGGGCUAGCGUUGCUCGGAAUUACUGGGCGUAAAGGGAGCGUAGGCGGACAUUUAAGUCAGGGGUGAAAUCCCAGAGCUCAACUCUGGAACUGCCUUUGAUACUGGGUGUCUUGAGUGUGAGAGAGGUAUGUGGAACUCCGAGUGUAGAGGUGAAAUUCGUAGAUAUUCGGAAGAACACCAGUGGCGAAGGCGGCUCACUGGCCCGAUACUGACGCUGAGGUGCGAAAGCGUGGGGAGCAAAC
rnacentral:rRNA from 1 species